AAUUCUUGCCUGGGUUUAACCAAGACCUAUGGUCUGAAAAACCAUCGUUGUAUUCAACUACAAAAAC
rnacentral:tRNA from 1 species